rnacentral:lncRNA from 1 species
CUCAUAUAAGGUAAAAGGCAGCAGGGCCUCUGCGACCAGGGAGCGGCGGGCAAGGGGCUGAGGGGAGGGGGACCUGGUGCCAGCCGUUUAAAAGUGCCCCUGUGGCAGUGAAGGGUGCCAGAGGCCCGGUCAAGUUAGUUGAGAAGAAGUGACACCCCCAACCAUUCCCCAAAUGGUCUGGCCCCCGUAUCCCGGCUGCAAGGAGCCAUAUCUGGACCAGACCCCCAGAGAGGCUAGGGCACUGGCUGGUGGGAGCCACCCCUACAUCUCUGACAUUGGUGGAGCCAGGACCCCAGAGAGGUGCCUCCUGAGGACCAGAGGGCAGGCAGCAGGGGCCCUGGAAACAGAACGCCUCCCCGAGCUUCUCGACAGAAGACAGAGGUUCCCCCACUCAGUGACAUUUCCUGAAGACAGUGGGGAGCAGGGAGGGGAAAUCGGCCCGUCCUCCGGGAGCCACCCCCAGACAGCCAACAACCAGGGGCAUUUCCCUCCACCUCAGCCUGACUGCGCUCCUCCAGGGCAAGGUUUAGUCCCUUCUCCUCUUGGCACAUCGAAGACGCACUGGGGUCGCUGAACGGACAGGUGAAACGGUUAGGCCCUGUCCCCAACUCAAACGCUUGGAAAAUUGGCCAGGGGGUGAGAUAUCCAGCGUAGAGGUUAAAAAUGAGGGUCCUGGGUCGGCUGUUCUGAGUCAGGAAUCCCAGCACAGCUCCCAGCUCCAUGCCCUGGGAAAAUUCCCUUCCCACCGGGCCUUGGGGAUGAGCACGGUUAAAACAGCCAAUAAGUGACCGUUCCUACUGCCGUCAGCAUCACCAUGAUUUUUCUAGAGACAAAGGAACAGAACUAGUCAGCCUACAGCCCCAGAGCAGACGGAGGCCAUCCCUUCCCCCGUCAAAGGCUGCGCCCCAGCCCUGGCCCUGCGUCACGGUCUCUCCCACAGGAGCGUGGGCCUGCCUCUCCUUCCCGUUACUACACCCAGGAGAGCUGCACUCUUUGCGGUAAUAUUCUCAGCCCGAUGGGAUGUGCUGGAAAUAGCCAUCGCUCCCCCGGUUCAAGCUGGGCUGUGACCCUGGAACCAUCUCCUUCCCUUCCUGGUCCUCCCGGUGGAGGUGACAGCAUCCGCCUGCCACCCUCACCAACCACUCUGAAGAUUAAACGUGACAGGCACAAUUUCCCAAAUUGCACUCACUCGGAGGCCCCCUUUUAUAUUUUUUGCCAUAUCUGUAAACAAUUAUAAUCUCUUUAAAUUUAAGAUGAAUCAUGGUUAAUACCUAAAUAUAAAUAAGGAGAUAAACGGGAGCCAGAGAAGUGUCAGAGACGGGAUAGUACCUAACGGAGGCUUUCUCCCCGCUUGGUGAACAGAAGGACUGAGAGCAAACGGACAAGGAGUAACUUGAGUCACUCUGUCUUCCAAAGGCAGCGCUGAGGCCACCGGCUGCCCACAUGGCCCUCUCUCUGCACUAAGCCGAAGGUCAUUAGGUGAGAGGGCUUUGGGAACAGUCAGGACCGCGGAAUGCAGGGGGCUGGUUCCUGGCAGCAAAUGAUCGCUUUUUCAGGACAGCUAUCCCUGGCUC